rnacentral:rRNA from 1 species
UACGUAGGCAGCAAGCGUUGUUCGGAAUUACUGGGCGUAAAGAGUGUGUAGGCGGUGCUCUAAGUUCGGUGUGAAAUCUCCUGGCUUAACUGGGAGGGUGCGCCGGAAACUGGAAUGCUCGAGCGUGGGAGAGGAAAGCGGAAUUCCUGGUGUAGCGGUGAAAUGCGUAGAUAUCAGGAGGAACACCUGCGGUGUAGACAGCUUUCUGGACCAUUGCUGACGCUGAGACACGAAAGCGUGGGUAGCAAACAGG